rnacentral:rRNA from 1 species
CCUACGGGGGGCUGCAGUGGGGAAUAUUGGACAAUGGGGGCAACCCUGAUCCAGCCAUGCCGCGUGUGUGAAGAAGGCCCUCGGGUUGUAAAGCACUUUCAGUGAGGAAGAACGCCUGGUGGUUAAUACCCAUCAGGAAAGACAUCACUCACAGAAGAAGCACCGGCUAACUCCGUGCCAGCAGCCGCGGUAAUACGGAGGGGUGCGAGCGUUAAUCGGAAUUACUGGGCGUAAAGCGCGCGUAGGUGGCUUGAUAAGCCGGUUGUGAAAGCCCCGGGCUCAACCUGGGAACGGCAUCCGGAACUGCCAGGCUAGGGGCCAGGGGAGGAAGGAAGAAUUCCCGGUGAGGGGGGAAAUGCGUAGAGAUCGGGAGGAAUACCAGUGGCGAAGGCGGCCUUCUGGACUGACACUGACACUGAGGUGCGAAAGCGUGGGUAGCAAACAGGAUUAGAUACCCCGGUAGUC